CGGCACACAGACAGUGGACCUGCUGAGGCAGGGGGUGCCUGGAGCAUCUGCAGCCUUUCUCAGAGCUUCCCUAAGGGGCAUGGUUUGAAAACUACUGUAGCAUGACGGUGUGGACCAAGGUCCAUCAACAAUCCUAUACUGAUUCCUGUGGCCUUCAAUAGCUUGCCUGGAAGUCCUGAUUUAUGUUGGAAAUAUGCCUUGUCUAUUAGAGGACACCGUUUGACCAACCAUGGUCCACAGUCUUGACUCAUGUCCUCAUUUCCACAUACGAUGAAGAUCUGUGGCUGUUUUUAUGUCCAUCUUCCAGAAAGUAUUCAAAACAGAGAACAAUGAAUAUUCCAAGCUUCUAAAUGACUCAGAUAAGCAAUGACUUCUCUGGCUUCAUUUUCUCAAUGUGUUGAAUUAAUUUGUCCAUACAUUCUGAUUUGGGUAAAAGGACCAUGGAGACUUCACAUUGAUCAUCUGUAGUGUGGCAAAGGCCAGCUCUGCUUUCUAGUUCUUAUCAUUUUGUGCAUAUUCUUC